GGACUCCUACGGGGGGCAGCAGUGGGGAAUAUUGCACAAUGGGGGGAACCCUGAUGCAGCGACGCCGCGUGGGUGAAGGAGUACUUCGGUACGUAAAGCCCUAUCAGCAGGAAAGAAAAUGACGGUACCCAAGGAAUAAGCCCCGGCUAACUACGUGCCAGCAGCCGCGGUAAUACGUAGGGGGCAAGCGUUGUUUGGAAUGACUGAGCGUAAAGGGUGUGUAGGCGGUGUAGCAAGUUAG
rnacentral:rRNA from 1 species